GAGAUUGAAGUUUGUCCAAAAGGAAGCUUCUGAUGGACAAAAGAAGGCCAUGAGACUCAAGAACACAAAUGGGGGGCCCAUCAGCUGAAAGAGACUUGAGGGAGGACAAUCCCCUAAUGACAGACAGCUUGUGUUCUGAGGCCAUUGCACUGAUGAGGCAUACAGCUGAUGAAGGAAUUGUUAUGACGAAGAUGAAGCAGACCUUCAACUAUCGUCAAAAGAUCAUUCAUGAUCCAGUGAAGUCCUCUGAUGUCUUUCUGGCCUUCCCAAGAUUCCUGGACAUACAAGGAUUAAUUGAGCAAGAUUUUACUUUGAUGUUUGAUGACGCCAUCUCUGCAAAGUUCCUGGAGAAGUGGCCCACAAUUUACAAGCACAAAGUCCUUGAACAAAGCCGUGGUCUCACAGUCAGAUGAUCUGCAGUACCUCGUCCAGACUGCUGAAUCCACAACAGAAGUCGAAAGUGGAUGGGACAGUGACAUGUCGUCCAUUUUGAUCCUUCUGCACCUGCUGCCGCCGUCACCUCAAGGCCGAAAGAGACCAGGAAAGCUCUCCGCCAGACAAGCCAGUGAGAAUCUUGUGAAGUUCAUCAAGACAGGGACCAGCAUCCAGGGGCAUCUCGAUGGAAUCGCAGGCAGCCUUCAACCAUACCUGCUUGCUGUGGGAACUCAGAGGAAUGUGAUUCACAAGUACUUCAUUGACAAACAGGCAAUAUCUUGUAAGUCAUCUGGCUCUCCUGCUUGUUUUGAUGAGCUUUUCAAAGCUCACUUGG